rnacentral:rRNA from 1 species
GUCCACGCCUUAAACGAUGUAUGCUUGGUGUUGGGGGUGACCCUCAGUGCCGUAGGAAACCUAUUAAGCAUACCACCUGGGGAGUACGAUCGCAAGGUUGAAACUCAAAGGAAUUGACGGGGCCCGCACAAGCGGUGGAUCAUGUGGUUUAAUUCGAUGCAACGCGAAGAACCUUACCCGGGCUCGAAGUGCAGGUAGUAAAGAGAUGAAAGUUGAAUGAACCGUCAAGUCGGUUGCCUGCAGAGGUGCUGCAUGGCUGUCGU